GCCAUGCUUGUCAAGGAGGAUAAUUGAGGCUGAGGUUAAAAGACAUUAAGAGCCUUAAUGAAAGCAAACUGUGAGCAGCUGUUCCCAAAGUUAUUAUGUGUUUGGCUUGGACUUCUGCUUCCAUGGAUUCCUAGGAUUCAUUUGCAAAAUACUCUAUGAAAGUUAAACCAGCAAUUGAGGAGACUUUAGGACUUUAACCGUGGAAAAGACUUGCUUCAAUAUUUACACAUUGGCCGAAGCUGAUUGAGCGGGAAUAAUGAGCCUUCGAUAUCUGCACUGCACAAGGUGGGUGAAGACUUGUUUCCACUGGGUAGAGUGUAUGGCGGAAUAAACGGUGUGUC
rnacentral:lncRNA from 1 species